GGUUCGAUUCUGGCUCAGAUUGAACGCUGGCGGGAUGUGCUUUACACAUGCAAGUCGAACGGCAGCGGACUUCGGUCUGGUGGCGAGUGGCGAACGGGUGAGUAAUGUAUCCGGAACGUGCCCUGAUAGCGGGGGAUAACUACGCGAAAGCGUAGCUAAUACCACGCUGCGCCCUUCGAGGGAAAGCGGGGGACCUUCGGGCCUCGCACUAUUAGAGCGGCCGAUAUCCGGAUGGCUAGUUGGUGGAGGUAGUAACGGCUCACCAAGGCGACGAUCCGUAGCUGGUUUGAGAGGACGACCAGCCACACUGGGACUGAGACACGGCCCAGACUCCUACGAGAGGCAGCAGUGGGAAUUUUGGACAGUAAACCUGAUCCAGCCAUCCCGCGUGUGCGAUGAAGGCCUUCCCAGGUUGUAAGCACUUUUGGCAGGAAAACGGCACGGGAUAAUGCCCCGUGCAACUGACAGUACCUGCAGAAUAAGCACCGGCUAACUACGUGCCAGCAGCCGCGGUAAUACGUAGGAAUUCCUGAAAGCGUUAAUCCAGAUUACUGGAGGCGUAAAGCGUGCGCAGGCGGUUCAGAAGAAAGAUGUGAAAUCCCAGAGCUUAACUUUGGAACUCAUUUUUAACUACCGAGCUAGAGUGUGUCAGAGGAGGUGAAUUCCGCGAUGUAGCAGUGAAAUGCGUAGAUAUGCGGAGAACACCGAUAGCGAAGGCAGCCUCCUGGGAUAACACUGACGCUCCUUUUGAAAGCGUGGGGAGCAAACAGGAUUAGAUACCCUGGUAGUCCACGCCCUAAACGAUGUCAACUAGCUGUUGGGGCCUUCGGGCCUUGGUAGCGCAGCUAACGCGUGAAGUUGACCACCUGGGAGAGUACGGUCACUUAAAGAUUAAAACUCAAAGGAAUUGACGGGGACCCGCACAAGCGGUGGAUGAUGUGGAUUAAUUCGAUGCAACGCGAAAAACCUUACCUACCCUUGACAUGUCUGGAAUCCCGAGAUUUGGGAUGCUCGCAAGAGAACCCGGAACACAGGUGCUGCAUGGCUGUCGUCAGCUCGUGUCGUGAGAUGUUGGGUUAAGUCCCGCAACAGGCGCAACCCUUGUCAUUAGUUGCUACGAAAGGGGCACUCUAAUGAGACUGCCGGUGACAAACCGGAGGAAGGUGGGGAUGACGUCAAGUCCUCAUGGCCCUUAUGGGUAGGGCUUCACACGUCAUACAAUGGUCGGGACAGAGGGUCGCCAACCCGCGAGGGGAGCCAAUCCCAGAAACCCGAUCGUAGUCCGGAUCGCAGUCUGCAACUCGACUGCGUGAAGUCAGAAUCGCUAGUAAUCGCGGAUCAGCAUGUCGCCCGGUGAAUACGUUCCCGGGUCUUGUACACACCGCCCGUCACACCAUGGGAGUGGGUUUUACCAGAAGUAGUUAGCCUAACCGUAAGGAGGGCGAUUACCACGGUAGGAUUCAUGACUGGGGUGGAGAGUCGUAACAAGGUAA
rnacentral:rRNA from 1 species